UUAAGUUCAGCGGGUAGUCCUACCUGAUUUGAGGUCAGAUUUCAAAGUUUAGCUUGACCGCCGCUCCACAGGCGGUCGGGGUCGGGGUCGGGCACGGAAGGGGAACUUCUCGGUAGAGCGAGGAUGAUACAACGCCCAGUCGAGUUCGACCCACAGGCCCAACCGAUGCAUUUGAGGGGAGCCGCCUCGCAGCAGCAAGC
rnacentral:misc_RNA from 1 species